rnacentral:rRNA from 1 species
UACGUAGGGUGCGAGCGUUAAUCGGAAUUACUGGGCGUAAAGCGUGCGCAGGCGGUUUUGUAAGCCAGAUGUGAAAUCCCCGGGCUUAACCUGGGAAUGGCAUUUGGGACUGCAAGGCUCGAGUGCGGCAGAGGAGACUGGAAUUCCUGGUGUAGCAGUGAAAUGCGUAGAUAUCAGGAGGAAUACCGAUGGCGAAGGCAGGUCUCUGGGCUGACACUGACGCUCAUGCACGAAAGCGUGGGGGAGCAAACAGG